CUGUCUCUUGCUUCAACCGUAUUUGAAUGGAACUG
rfam:Myotis lucifugus cont2.208, whole genome shotgun sequence.